UGCAAGUCGAGCGGAUGAAGGGAGCUUGCUCCUGGAUUCAGCGGCGGACGGGUGAGUAAUGCCUAGGAAUCUGCCUGGUAGUGGGGGAUAACGUCCGGAAACGGGCGCUAAUACCGCAUACGUCCUGAGGGAGAAAGUGGGGGAUCUUCGGACCUCACGCUAUCAGAUGAGCCUAGGUCGGAUUAGCUAGUUGGUGGGGUAAAGGCCUACCAAGGCGACGAUCCGUAACUGGUCUGAGAGGAUGAUCAGUCACACUGGAACUGAGACACGGUCCAGACUCCUACGGGAGGCAGCAGUGGGGAAUAUUGGACAAUGGGCGAAAGCCUGAUCCAGCCAUGCCGCGUGUGUGAAGAAGGUCUUCGGAUUGUAAAGCACUUUAAGUUGGGAGGAAGGGCAGUAAGUUAAUACCUUGCUGUUUUGACNUUACCAACAGAAUAAGCACCGGCUAACUUCGUGCCAGCAGCCGCGGUAAUACGAAGGGUGCAAGCGUUAAUCGGAAUUACUGGGCGUAAAGCGCGCGUAGGUGGUUCAGCAAGUUGGAUGUGAAAUCCCCGGGCUCAACCUGGGAACUGCAUCCAAAACUACUGAGCUAGAGUACGGUAGAGGGUGGUGGAAUUUCCUGUGUAGCGGUGAAAUGCGUAGAUAUAGGAAGGAACACCAGUGGCGAAGGCGACCACCUGGGACUGAUACUGACACUGAGGUGCGAAAGCGUGGGGAAGCAAACAGGAUUAGAUACCCUGGUAGUCACGCCC
rnacentral:rRNA from 1 species